rnacentral:rRNA from 1 species
UCGAGCGAACAGACGAGGAGCUUGCUCCUCUGACGUUAGCGGCGGACGGGUGAGUAACACGUGGAUAACCUACCUAUAAGACUGGGAUAACUUCGGGAAACCGGAGCUAAUACCGGAUAAUAUAUUGAACCGCAUGGUUCAAUAGUGAAAGACGGUUUUGCUGUCACUUAUAGAUGGAUCCGCGCCGCAUUAGCUAGUUGGUAAGGUAACGGCUUACCAAGGCAACGAUGCGUAGCCGACCUGAGAGGGUGAUCGGCCACACUGGAACUGAGACACGGUCCAGACUCCUACGGGAGGCAGCAGUAGGGAAUCUUCCGCAAUGGGCGAAAGCCUGACGGAGCAACGCCGCGUGAGUGAUGAAGGUCUUCGGAUCGUAAAACUCUGUUAUUAGGGAAGAACAAAUGUGUAAGUAACUAUGCACGUCUUGACGGUACCUAAUCAGAAAGCCACGGCUAACUACGUGCCAGCAGCCGCGGUAAUACGUAGGUGGCAAGCGUUAUCCGGAAUUAUUGGGCGUAAAGCGCGCGUAGGCGGUUUUUUAAGUUUGAUGUGAAAGCCCACGGCUCAACCGUGGAGGGUCAUUGGAAACUGAAAAACUUGAGUGCAGAAGAGGAAAGUGGAAUUCCAUGUGUAGCGGUGAAAUGCGCAGAGAUAUGGAGGAACACCAGUGGCGAAGGCGACUUUCUGGUCUGUAACUGACGCUGAUGUGCGAAAG